CCUACGGGUGGCUGCAGUGAGGAAUAUUGGUCAAUGGCCGAGAGUCUGAACCAGCCAAGUCGCGUGAGGGAAGACGGCCCUACGGGUUGUAAACUGCUUUUGUACGGGGGCAAAUCCAGGCACGUGUGACUCAUUGAGAGUAUCGGACGAAUAAGGAUCGGCUAACUCCGUGCCAGCAGCCGCGGUAAUACGGAGGAUGCGAGCGUUAUCCGGAUUUAUUGGGUUUAAAGGGUGCGCAGGCGGAUGUAUAAGUUAGCGGUUAAAUUUGGGGGCUCAACCCCGGAAUUGCCUUUAAUACUGCAGGCCUAGAGUGUACUAGCGGUAUGCGGAAUGUAUGGUGUAGCGGUGAAAUGCAUAGAGAUCACGCAGAACACCGAUUGCGAAGGCAGCAUACC
rnacentral:rRNA from 1 species